AGAUUUUUCAUAACUUGUGAGUUUCCCAGCGUGGCUAUUGGGGCCUGCUGGUUAAGCUUACCUCUUGAAUGACCAUUAUUCAGCAAUAGCAAAUGAUUCAGUAAUGAAAACAGGGGCCUGAUUUUUUUUUUCUUUUUAAAGAUUUAUUAAAGCACCUCAGAGGCUGUUUUUUAUAAAAAACUCAGCCCUUAGAGUGGCUGACCUUAAAAAUCUGUUUAUCUAAGCUAUAUUCCCCCCAAACGCUGACCAACAUGAUAAAUAAUUUAUUUAAUGUUUCCUUAAAUAUUAUUUUGUUUGGUUUAAACCCAAAGUAGAAACUCCUUCUCCCCGAAAGGAACACUGUCUCAUUUUUGUAUACAAUGGAAACAUUUGGGGACAAAUAAAAGAAAUAAAAUAUUUUUCACAAAAUUUGGCUUACUGAGCGAAUGCUGGCUAAUCUAGGGGCUGUGGAAUAAAUGUGGUGAUGUUAGGGUAGUUAAAUUAGAAGCUGGGACUUUGAGUGAAGGUUAUAUACUUAUUUUGAGCAUUUCCUUAUGCCCAUAAGAAAAUAAAUAUCCACAAAUAAACACAGCCAGUAGGGCACAAAGGGGUAAUCAAUAGAAAAAUGGUCCCCACCCAAGCCACAAGCAACACAGGGGCUGUGUUCAUCUUGACAAGAAUUCUUUCCCGGAGCUUUCGGUAAAUCUAGAGCUCUGCCAUAUUGUAACCGUCCUUUGAGGAGAAUCUGUUAAAGGUUCCCAUUUCCCUUGCACAAUUGUCCCUCAAUCCACAGGACCAGUAAUCCCAGAAUUCCUACCCCCGGGCUAUAGAAGCUGGCCCUGAUGCAGGCUAGACAAUCAGAUUCUACUCCCUGAAACUCUGUGACUGGUUACAUCACACAUGGGCUCAACCUGAGCUGAUUAUAAUCUUUGGCGUUUCUUUUUAAAUUAAAAAGAAAAAAAAACAGGAGAAGAAGGGGCCUCCCUCUUUGAGCCAUGGAACUGGAAGCAAAGCAGAGGCUGCCCAAGAAGGAGAGGGAAAGGAGGCCAUGGGAAAAGCAGAGCUAGACGGUGGGAACGGUGAUUUCUGAUGACGACGCUACUUGAAGAACAAAGCCGGAUUUCAAUCCGAGAGCACGCCCCACUCUGUAUGGAUCUCCCUGGCCCGUCUGUAACCUCCGGAAGAGGGACUGCAACUGGAAAUGGCCAAGGGGGGCAGCCUGGGACCCACACGUGGAUGGAGGCUUUGGGGUUGCUUCAGUCCCUGGUCAAGUAAAGAUGGGCAUUUGCUUUUA